UACAGAGGGUGCGAGCGUUAAUCGGAAUUACUGGGCGUAAAGCGUGCGUAGACGGUUACAUAAGUCGGGUGUGAAAGCCCCGGGCUCAACCUGGGAAUUGCAUUCGAGACUGCGUAGCUAGGGUGCGGAAGAGGGAAGCGGAAUUUCCGGUGUAGCGGUGAAAUGCGUAGAUAUCUGGAGGAACACCGGUGGCGAAGGCGGCAUCCUGGACCGGUAUUGACACUGAGGCGCGAAAGCCAGGGGAGCAAACGGG
rnacentral:rRNA from 1 species